rnacentral:tRNA from 1 species
GCGGGUGUGGCGGAACUGGUAGACGCACCAGAUUUAGGUUCUGGCGCCGAGAGGCUUGGGGGUUCGAGUCCCUUCACCCGCACCA